UGACUUGCCUAGUUAAAUAAAAUAAAACAUAUGACCAUGGUUUGUUUAUUUGGUCUAUUCAGCAUGGCUCUGUUCUGCCCUGCCUUGCCCCCUUGUGGAGCUCAAAAGUUAGUUUCUUACUGUUAUAACUCAAAUCUGUGAUUUUGUCAAUGCAAUAAACUAUUUUUAUAGCUGUGUUUAUUAUGUUAUUUGUAAUAUUGUUUUAUUGCUAUAUCCUUAUAUUGUAUUCUAAUUAAUAAUUCCUCUUUAUUCUGUACUUUCAGAAACCACAAACAGUAUUUGCCAAUAUCAUAACUGGACAUCUUUCGAGCUGAAGAUUGAGGACAGCUUUUGUAUGCUAACGUUCUCUCCUUAACAGUUUUACUGGAUGGAAACACAGCAAGAAAACACAUAGGCCAAUAUUGACUGAACAACAACUGCAUUUCCACCCCCACCUCUAAAGGCAUAGUAUCAUGGCAGGUCACCUGUCAAGUCACCUGUCAGGCAGACUUUGCAGUGCCUCCGUGUGCGACUACCUUGAGCAGCAGUUUGAGGGACUUUGCAGGGAAAAUGCCGUGCAGUGAGGCGUAGGGGAUUGUCUAAAGCAGGGCGACCCCCAGUGGAGGGUGCUCCUCCAACAGCUCUCUCAUGAGGUUCUCUCUGUAUUUUUGGUAGGUAAUUACUUUACCUAUGAGGGAGUGGGGAGGAUGAGGAAAGUUAGAGGAUGAUGAGGCAGUGGGUAGGUUGGUGAGAUAUUGUCACUGUAAUUGCAUAAUGGAUUUGUAUGUGAACUGUACAUCCAAUUACAAAAAUACCUUGUUCAGUAAUCAUCUCACCUGUUAGUUGGCGGUGAACUAUGCUGCCGUUGAGGACAGCAGUGUCGAUCAGCUGGAAAAAUAUCUUCUUAUACCACUUGGU